rnacentral:rRNA from 1 species
UACGUAGGGGGCUAGCGUUAUCCGGAAUUACUGGGCGUAAAGGGUGCGUAGGUGGUUUCUUAAGUCAGAGGUGAAAGGCUACGGCUCAACCGUAGUAAGCCUUUGAAACUGGGAAACUUGAGUGCAGGAGAGGAGAGUGGAAUUCCUAGUGUAGCGGUGAAAUGCGUAGAUAUUAGGAGGAACACCAGUUGCGAAGGCGGCUCUCUGGACUGUAACUGACACUGAGGCACGAAAGCGUGGGGAGCAAACAGGAUUAGAUACCCCUGUAGUCUCUGAG